AUCUUUUAUGAAAUUUAUAAAUUGCAAGUUUAUUCAUUCUUCUCAUUCCAUUACCACAAUAUUAAAUUUUCAAGUCAGGUUAACUGAGAUUUGUCGAAGGUUCCAGCAGCUCUAAAACAGUAGAGGAAAUUCAAUGUGAUUCAGUUCACGUUGAAACGAAUCGGUAUAACACAAAGUGUAUCGACAUCCGGCCGGAAUCGAGAUUCAGUGUCUUGGAUCGUGAACGAUCCAUUCGAACCGGUGGAAAACCGUUUUCGGUAUGCCGGUUCGGUGGCUCCAAUGAAAAAUAGGUUACCUUUUAGUAAACCGUUUUACCAGUACUCUGUACCCGGAGGGAAUGAAGAUCAAUAAAACAGCGAGAGAAAAAGAACGAUUUGAGGGUGGCCCCGGCGUUUCAAGGCGACGACGGCAGGGCAGGGGUGGACAAAAUAGGGGUGGGUAGGGGGGAGGGGAACGAUGCCUCGUUCAAUUUAAAUGAAACUCGUAUUAACGGUGUGAAAUCAGCGAAUUCAAUUAGGCGAGCUUUUAUUAAUACAACAUGAUUAAUUAAACAAUACCGUGGGAGGAGGGGGGGGAGGGGCGGUAGUGGAAGGAGUAGUGGAAGGUUCAGGGAGUCGCAAAGGGUUGUCGGGAGAGCGGCAGAUGUUCGUGGCGUCAACCAAAUUAUUAAAUGUCAGAAACAAUUGAAAAUUUGAAUGCGGCGGUUGAAAAAGACACGCACCCCACGUUAUUCACGAUUAUGCGGUUGCUGCCACGACCUUGACUUUAACGGGGUCGGAUCCGGAGCACUUAACCGCUCUCUCAUUAACGUGGAAGCAGAUGUGAAUGCAAGGCGCAUGCAGCCACGGACUGGUGAAAAUGUGUUCAUAAGUGGAGCGGAAUUCCCCUUUGUUCUUGCCGAAAGGAACGAGGACGAGAGUUGCUUUCUACCUGAAGAAAAAUGACACUGGAGGAACUUAAGCGAAAAAUCAUCCCUCUCGAAAAACGAGCCUAUCCAAAUUCGACCACGAUAUUAAAUCUUGGAACGAGAUGCCUGAGAUUCUAUUUCGUGCAAUGGAUUUAGAGAUUAGGCCGCAGAAUAGCGCAGCUGUGUUGACUACAAAUCUCCACCUG
rnacentral:lncRNA from 1 species